GAUUAGAAUCAAAUUAACAUCUAUGGAGAAACGACUUAUGCAGUCAACCAAUGAAAAAUUACAGAUGGGUAAACUUCCAUGCUAGCUGGAGAAGCUGGAUAAACAAAUACAUAUGGCAACAAAGUUUCGGAAUGGUAUGACAAAUGGGUCGGAAAUAUGCCUCCCAUUAAGAUGGUGGAAACUGGUGCAUUUGGAUAUGAAGGCAUUGCAGGGUGAAGAGGCUAAGUUUAAUGCUUUAGAUCUCGCUUCAAUCUAGAAGAAGGUGAACCAACAAUAUAUUUCAAGACUCUGUUCUCCCGAAUCUAUACCUGGUUGUGAGAAUUCCAUUCGCAGUUACGAUUUGAAUUUUUGUUGAUACCAGGCGAUCUGAUUAUAUAAUCUUUCUCUGGACUAGAAAAUCGCAGGUUGCCUUAAAAUAUAAAUAAAAAUGCCCAGGUUAAAAUA